rnacentral:rRNA from 1 species
GAUGAACGCUGGCGGCGUGCCUAAUACAUGCAAGUCGAGCGAACAGACGAGGAGCUUGCUCCUCUGACGUUAGCGGCGGACGGGUGAGUAACACGUGGAUAACCUACCUAUAAGACUGGGAUAACUUCGGGAAACCGGAGCUAAUACCGGAUAAUAUAUUGAACCGCAUGGUUCAAUAGUAAAAGACGGUUUUGCUGUCACUUAUAGAUGGAUCCGCGCCGCAUUAGCUAGUUGGUAAGGUAACGGCUUACCAAGGCGACGAUGCGUAGCCGACCUGAGAGGGUGAGCGGCCACACUGGAACUGAGACACGGUCCAGACUCCUACGGGAGGCAGCAGUAGGGAAUCUUCCGCAAUGGGCGAAAGCCUGACGGAGCGACGCCGCGUGAGUGAUGAAGGUCUUCGGAUCGUAAAACUCUGUUAUUAGGGAAGAACAAAUGUGUAAGUAACUAUGCACGUCUUGACGGUACCUAAUCAGAAAGCCACGGCUAACUACGUG